rnacentral:lncRNA from 13 species
GUUUUUCAGAAGACAAUUGGAAUUGAUAAGUGGUAUUUCCAAACUGACAGAAUAAAAAGGAAACCACACCAGUUAUUCUACUUUCAUACACGUGUGUGCAGUCCCUGAGGGGUAGCACAGAGAUCAGCUCUUUCAUUUGAGAGAAUCCUGUGGGAAAUGGACUCACAGGAAGCAGCAUCUGAUGCUCACAUAUGUCUUGAGCAGAAGGACAGGGACUUCUGUGUGAUUCCAAAGCCUCUUGCUUUGAGUGUGAUUCCCUCGAUCUGAAAUGGUUUCCCUGGAUCUGAGUGUGUGCUCCUUUCCCCCGUGCAGAGAGCAGCACAACAGAACCCAGAUCCUGUGGACAAGGAUGCUGCUGGAUGGAUGGAAAACAGCUGAAUGGAUUGUGUGUCCCCUCCUUUAGAAAAUGUGAUAUGGAUGUGAGUACCUGUCUGUUGCCUAAACAGUGAAUAAACUCUGCCUGGAUUUCUGUCUACAGAAUGGAUGUUUUCCUUUCUGUAAGUCUCUUUUUUCUGUAAG